rnacentral:rRNA from 1 species
UACGAAGGGGGCUAGCGUUGCUCGGAAUCACUGGGCGUAAAGCGCACGUAGGCGGAUUGUUAAGUCAGGGGUGAAAUCCUGGAGCUCAACUCCAGAACUGCCUUUGAUACUGGCGAUCUCGAGUCCGGGAGAGGUGAGUGGAACUGCGAGUGUAGAGGUGAAAUUCGUAGAUAUUCGCAAGAACACCAGUGGCGAAGGCGGCUCACUGGCGCGGUACUGACGCUGAGGUGCGAAAGCGUGGGGAGCAAACAGG